CAAGUCGAACGAUAACGUUCCUUCGCGGAUGAGUACGGUGGCGCACGGGUGAGUAACGCGUGGAUAAUCUACCCAUUGGUUCGGAAUAACAGUUGGAAACGACUGAUAAUACUGGAUAAUAUGGCAACGUUAAAGGUGGCCUCUGCUUGCAAGCUACUGCCAAUGGAUGAGUCCGCGUCUCAUUAGCUAGACGGUAGGGUAACGGCCUACCGUGGCAACUAUGAGUAUCAGGCCUGAAAAGGUGGCCUGCCACACUGGGACUGGAACACGGCCCACACUCCUACGGGAGGCAGCAGUGGGGAAUAUUGCGCAAUGGGGGAAACCCUGACGCAGCGACGCCGCGUGGAAGAUGAAGGUUUUCGGAUCGUAGACUCCUGUCAGAAGGGAAGAAACCUGCAAAAAGUAAUAUGUUUUGCAGCUGACGGUACCUUCAGAGGAAGCACCGGCUAAUUCCGUGCCAGCAGCCGCGGUAAUACGGAAGGUGCAAGCGUUAAUCGGAAUCACUGGGCGUAAAGCGCUCGUAGGUGGCUUUGUAAGUCAGGUGUGAAAGCCCACGGCUCAACCGUGGAAUUGCACUUGAUACUGCAUUGCUUGAGUUCGGGAGAGGGUAGUGGAAUUCCAGGUGUAGGAGUGAAAUCCGUAGAGAUCUGGAGGAACACCACUGGCGAAUGCGACUACCUGGACCGAUACUGACACUGAGGAGCGAAAGCGUGGGGAGCAAACAGGAUUAUAUACCCUGCUAGUCCACACUGUAAACAAUGGAUACUAAGUGUCGGGGGCUUGACCUUCGGUGCCGUAACUAACGCGUUAAGUAUCCCGCCCUGGGGAGUACGGUCGCAAGGCUGAAACUCAAAGAAAUUGAACGGGGGCCCGCACAAGCGGUGUAGUAUGUGGUAUAAUUCAAUGCACGCGAAGAAUCUUACCUAGGCUUGACAUCCUGGAACCUUCCCUAAAAUGAAAGGUGCUCUUCGGAGAACCAGAAACACGUGCUGCAUGGCUGUCGUCAGCUCGUGUCAGUGAGUGUUGGUAAAUCCCGCAACGAUCGCUACCCCUAUGUCUUAAGAUGGCGAUCACGUGAUGCUGGCACGUCUAAGAAACGACUGACCAGUAGCAGAGGUAAGUGGGACGACUCUAGUCAUCAUGGUCCUUACCGCUAGCUGACACGUACUACAAUGAGUGCAUACAAGGGG
rnacentral:rRNA from 1 species